CACAAGUCAAAACUGAAACCGGCGAUGU
rnacentral:sRNA from 1 species